CAGAGCGUGUGAUCGCGGCCGUCAAUGCCGAAAGGCGGCGGCUGAGGAAAGUCCGGGCUUCACAGGGCAGGAUGCCGGAUAACGUCCGGCAGGGGUGACCCUCGAGCAAGCGCAACAGAAAACAACCGCCCGCCUCCGGCGUGGUAAGGGUGAAAAGGCAGUGUAAGAGACUACCGGCAGACCGGUAACGGGAUGCGCGAAUGCAAGCCUCAUCCGAAGCAAGACCGAAUCGAAAGAAUAUGGCGGCCCGUCAUCUUUCAGGUUGGUCGCUAGAGCUCUCCGGUAACGGAGAGAGUCAGACAGAUGAUCACACACGACAUAACCCGGCUUACAGCUCUGCUUUU
rnacentral:RNase_P_RNA from 1 species